UAUAAUGAAGCAAUUACAUACAUUUUUUUUGGACUUAGGUCCAUAAGACCCAAAAAAACACACAAAGACCUAAUCCAUUUCCAUUCUAACACUAUCACAUUUUGAACUGUGAACCAGAGAAAACUCGUCUUCUAUCCACCUUCAUCUUUCAUCAGUGGAAUGGUAUCCUCAGCCACCCACCAUCAAUACCUACUCAAUACGCUGCUCCUACAACUGUGCUAGGACUCCAUCUAAAUAUGGUGCAUCGAAGAUUGCGAUCAUCCCUUCCAAACUGAGAUUCAAUGCUUUGCUAGAGCCAUUGCGAGAAGCUUAUAUUCAUUGUACCAUAAGUGGCCACGAGAGUCGAGAAGCUUUUAUUCACUGUACCAUUUUGGUCCUCAAUUGUGGUUGAGUGCUCAAAUUUUAGUGCAAUAUCCCUAGGUUGUUUCAUGGGCGAGGAGAUUCCCGUUUCUGGGAGUCCAAGUUAACCCCUUUUCCGAACCCUUUUCUUUCCUGAAUGCUGCAUCGGCAUUUGUCUUCAGCCAACCAAUUGGAGGAGGUCUCCAUCUUACCAGGUUUGUUCUGUUCUCUCUUUCUCUAAGCAUCGUUCCUGCUUGUUUUUCUUUUGAUUUCCAGUAAAUAUUUUCCAUAACAUUUGCUUUC